AAAUAUAUAAUGAUUUUAAAAUGAUAGUUCAACCGGUAUCUAUUUGAAUAUUAUGGUAGCUAAAUUUUGUCAUUUUCCAUAUAACAAAAUGGAUUAUUUGAAAUCAUGAGAAAAACAAAGCAAUUGCAUCAACACAUAAACAAUUAGCAAUGCAUGUGGCACUUCUUUGAAACCUUGAGGCAGGCGCAAUGGAUGUAUAUUGAAAGCUUUGUUUUGUCUCGUUGAAUGUAAGUUUCUCUUCCACUGUUUUACUUGUUUGAAUACAUGCUGUUGAUUGUUUUGUCUAUAUUUUGAAUUUCCUGAUGUUCAUUUUAUCAAUUUUAUUGGUUGCAGGAUUUUGCGGUGCAAUAAAUUAUCUAUAUAUAGAUCGAGUUCAAGGCAAGAUCAAAGCCAGUCCAUACUGCAUAUAGAUAGUGUAUUAUCAUUAUUGUUUUUGAUUUGUAACACAUUGUAUUUUCACCAAAUGGUGAUCUAUAAUACUCCUGUAUGAAAGAAGAUUGGUUUAAUAUCAUGUUUUUCUUUGGAAAAAUUAGCUAUUGUAAUUAAUGAUUUCUUAUCAAUUUGCAUUUUACUUUUGAUUUCAAUUGGCA
rnacentral:lncRNA from 1 species